rnacentral:rRNA from 1 species
CCUACGGGUGGCAGCAGUGAGGAAUAUUGGUCAAUGGUCGGGAGACUGAACCAGCCAAGCCGCGUGAGGGAUGAAGGUACAGCGUAUCGUAAACCUCUUUUGUCAGGGAACAAAGACUGGGACGCGUCCCCGGAUGAGUGUACCUGAAGAACAAGCAUCGGCUAACUCCGUGCCAGCAGCCGCGGUAAUACGGAGGAUGCGAGCGUUAUCCGGAUUUAUUGGGUUUAAAGGGUGCGCAGGCGGUCUGUUAAGUCAGCGGUAAAAGCCCGGGGCUCAACCCCGGCCCGCCGUUGAAACUGGCAGGCUGGAGUGGGAGAGAAGUAGGCGGAAUGCGCGGUGUAGCGGUGAAAUGCAUAGAUAGCGCGCAGAACUCCGAUUGCGAAGGCAGCAUGCCGGCUCCACACUGACGCUGAGGCACGAAAGCGUGGGUAUCGAACAGGAUUAGAUACCCCAGUAGUC